GUCAGGAUGGAGCCAGACUCAAGCACCUGUUUACCGCCCUAGGGUUCUGUUCUCUGUACAGAGGUGUGGGUUCAAAUCCCACUUCUGACG
rnacentral:tRNA from 1 species